rnacentral:rRNA from 1 species
GUCUCGCGUGUGUCACCGGUAUCCUUCUUGAAGGUGAACCCUAGCGCGGCCACCUUCUUUGCGAUGACGGUGUUGAACAUGGAGGAGAUGACGCGGUUGAUGAACCAGCUCUUCUGGCAAUCGUUGAUGCCGAUGACCUGCCUCUAG